GAAAUGCGAUAAGUAAUGUGAAUUGCAGAAUUCAGUGAAUCAUCGAAUCUUUGAACGCACCUUGCGCUCCUUGGUAUUCCUUGGAGCAUGCCUGUUUGAGUAUCAUGAAAUCUUCAAAGUAAAUCUUUUGUUAACUCAAUUGGUUUCUACUUUGGUAUUGGAGGUCUUUGCAGCUUCACACCUGCUCCUCUUUGUUCAUUAGCUGGAUCUCAGUGUUAUGCUUGGUUCCACUCGGCGUGAUAAGUUAUCUAUCGCUGAGGACACUGUAAAAGGUGGAAGGUAAAUGCAGAUGAACCGCUUCUAAUAGUCCAUUGACUUGGACAAUACUUUUAUGAUCUGAUCUCAAAUCAGGUAGGACUACCCGCUGAACUUAAGC
rnacentral:misc_RNA from 1 species